CGGAGUCCCAUUUUUCAUCAAGAAAACGGAAAACCCACAAGGAACAACUCUACGCAUGUUCUGUGAAGAAGUUUGGCCGAGAUCUCAACCUGAAGGCGGAGAUCCGAGAGUCGUCCGAGAACGGUGCCGGUCGAGGUGGAGGAGCGUUCGAGAGCUGUGCGGUCA